UACGUAGGGUGCAAGCGUUGUCCGGAUUUAUUGGGCGUAAAGAGCGUGUAGGCGGCUUUACAGGUCCGUUGUGAAAACUCGAGGCUCAACCUCGAGACGCCGGUGGAAACCGUAAAGCUAGAGUCCGGAAGAGGAGAGUGGAAUUCCUGGUGUAGCGGUGAAAUGCGCAGAUAUCAGGAGGAACACCGGUGGCGAAGGCGGGUCUCUGGGCAGUAACUGACGCUGAGGAGCGAAAGCGUGGGGAGCGAACAGG
rnacentral:rRNA from 1 species